UUCCGGUUGAUCCCGCCGGACCCCACUGCUAUCGAGGUGGGACUAAGCCAUGCUAGUCGAACGCACAGAACUAUGUCUGUGAGUGGCUUACUGCUCAGUAACACGUAGCUAACCUACCCUUCGGACGUGGAUAACCCCGAGAAAUUGGGACUAAUCCGCGAUAGAUGUGAUGUCCUGGAAUGGUAUUACGUCUAAAGGUAUCCCAUACAUGUUUGGUAUACGCCUAAGGAUGGGGCUGCGGCCGAUCAGGCUGUUGGUGAGGUAAUGGCUCACCAAACCUUUGACCGGUACGGGCCAUGAGAGUGGUAGCCCGGAGAUGGACACUGAGACAAGGGUCCAGGCCCUACGGGGCGCAGCAGGCGCGAAACCUCCUCAAUGCACUUACGUGCGAAGGGGCUACCUCGAGUGCCACCUGAUGAAGGUGGCUUUUCCUAGGUCUAAAAAGCCUUGGGAAUAAGAGGGGGGCAAGACUGGUGUCAGCCGCCGCGGUAACACCAGCCCCUCGAGUGGUGGGGAUGAUUAUUGGGCCUAAAGCGUCCGUAGCCUGCCGUGUAAGUUUCCCGUUAAAUCCAGCGUCUCAAGCGUUGGACCGCGGGAAAUACUGUACGGCUAGAGAGUGGGAGAGGUCAGCGGUAUUCUGGGGGUAGGGGCGAAAUCCUUUGAUCCCCGGAGGACCACCAGUGGCGAAGCUGCUGUCUAGAACACGUCUGACGGUCAGGGACGAAAGCUGGGGUAGCGAACCGGAUUAGAUACCCGGGUAGUCCCAGCCGUAAACGAUGCAUGCUAGUGUUGGGUUGGUCACGAGCCACCCCAGUGCCGCAGGAAGCCGUUAAGCAUGCCGCCUGGGAAGUACGAUCGCAAGGUGAACUUAAGGAAUUGGCGGGGGAGCACACCAGCGUGAAGCUGCGUUUAGUGGAUUCAACGCCGGAU
rnacentral:rRNA from 1 species